UGCCAGAGAAUUCUAGGAUCAUCUGCAUCACUUGGAGGAGGAAGUCUGAAAACCUAAGGUUCUUACUCUCACUGUUCCUCCAACUGGCUAGAUGCCUGGAAGUAAGUCAUGGCAUAUCCCCUGUCUCCGUGGCUUGUAGGUUUUGAUAGCCUUUCAGUAGGUGUGUCAGUAAGACCAGAGAAAAGAUUUGUCACUGCAAUUCCUUUGGCUUCCCUUGGGAUCUCUUUCUUUCACCCAGGGCUGGUCCAGGUGGGCUGGCAUCUGGGUGGAGGCUGGAUGCAUGCCCUGACAGCCCUCCAUGAUCUGUGAGCCAAGCAAAGUCUGCCUGCUGCCAGAGUGGGACUGUGCCUGAGAUCUGGCAACACCCGGCCAGCAUGUCCUAUCAAGGCUGAACUAAAAAUAGGUCUUAUGCAUAGAGCCUAGAAAAACCAGCAGCCCAGCACACAGAGGUUGGCUAAUCAUCAGAUCGAACCAAGCUGCCACCACCACUCUAGGUACCAGCACCAUACGGGUGUCACCUCCAUCUGACACAGGUAGAACAACUGAGCAAACGUUCUCAUGGUUUACCGAUUUUCCCAUCUCUAAUUCCUGCACAGCAACCUUCCCAUAACUGUUGCUGUCAGCUCCACUUAAGAUUCUUUCUUUAUACCACCCGUGUUCCUCCCAGCAUCUUUGUGAAAGGGGACUAGAGGAUGAGCACAUAUGAAAUGUUUAAAUAGUAGGAGUCACAGAAGACCUUGACACAGGCAUGAGUCUACAGUGGGGACCCAGGGUGAAGAGCAGAAUGAAAAUGAGACCCAGGUUCCCUGUCUGCCCAGCCAAUCUCCAGAACUUCAGGGCCAGUCCCCAGAGGCAGACUGGCUGUUCCCAACAGUGCUUAGGGAACAACAUGCCCCCGCCUUGCCCCUAGGCUACUGCCAGCAUUUGGAUAGUUUCCCCUUUGGUUGUUUAUGACUGGAGACAGCACAGCUGUAAACAUCCAACAUCUGAACAUAGAUGGCCGCUUUAUUUUGGAUUAUUUUUUUUCCUUGAGCUCACAUCCUCCAAGUAGAAUUACUGGGUCAAAAAGUACAGACAGUAUUACAGCUCAAGGAAAGCUAGAGUCUUUGAGCCUGCCAGGAGGAGGGACUUCCCAUUUUCCCAGAGGGCUUCAGCGGCUGGGGAUGCUGGUGUUAAGUCUGGAGGGGAAGAAGAGCCCUGGGCUGAAUCCUCAGAUCAACGAUUGAUACAACUGUGGCUGGCAGGAAGUUACACCAGUCUUAGGCAUCCCAGCACCCAUGAAUGACUAUCCCAGCUCUUACUGAAGUGUUGCCUGCAUCUGGGUAUGGAAAUACAGCAAAGAAGCAUACUUGGCUACAAGAUCAUUACUUUCCAGUUGGGCUCUUAUGAACUGCCUUCACCUCCCUAAAGCCUGCAGUUGGUGACCCUCCUCUGAUCCUUGACAGCUUUUUCUGGGCCCCCCAAAAUGCCGGCCCUGAACCAAGAAUGAACUCAGAUAAGUGAAUAAGCUCCAGGAAGCUUAGCGUCCCUCACAGGGUGGCUCUAAUAAAUUCCAGAAAACAAAAAGCAGGUGUUGGCCAUCUUUCUCCUGCCCAAAGAGUUAUUUACACAAGUUUCCACAGCAAUCCGCUUCAUCGUUUGACAUGCCUAUUACACGGUUCUCUUUGGGGAAAGGUCUGGAGUUAGUUAGCUCGGUGGAUUAGAGAGCAAGUCCCUCAAGGCCAAGGGCAAUGAAAGCCUUUUCCUUCUCUCCACUCCCCCAUUCAUUCACAGUGCCUGUGCCCUGCCAGGUCGUCCGUCCUGUUAGAGAAUGAGCCCAGACAAUGCUCCUCACUCCUCUCUUCUGAAGGCAGCCAAAGCGCAGAUAGAAGUUUUUAUGAGCCAAGAAUUCAGGUGCAGUUUGACUGAUGCCUCUGUCUCAGGGCUCUUCAAAUCAGCAGGCCAAGUUGUCUUUGGAGGCUGUGAACAUCACAAGGUUUGGCUGAGGUACCAUCUAUCCCCAAGUAUAUUCUGUUAUUA
ensembl:lncRNA LOC120102924 uncharacterized LOC120102924